rnacentral:lncRNA from 1 species
UCCUCUGGACGUCACUUACUAAAGCAUGAACGAAUACCAGCUUGCUAGAACUAAAACCGUAGAAAGUAAGCUUCUUAGUUGCAAAAAACUUCUGAUGUUCCUCUUUCUGCUCUGUUGGGGACGGGAGGGGAUUUGUGUGUGUAUGAGCAAGAGUGCCUGUGUGUGCGUGUGUGAGCAUGUGCAAGCAUGUGUGUGUGUGUGUGUGUGUGUGCGUGCGUGCGUGCGUGCAUGCACGCGCCUGUAUACUUUAAUACUUGUCUUCAGAUUAUUUUUUAUUUAUAUGCUAAAGCAUAGCAGAAAUGUCAAGAUAGCCUUUCUGUAACUUUCUAUUUCUACCCGUGAGAAGAAAACCUUUAAAUCAGUUGAAAUUGAAGUUAAUAACCAAAUCGAAGACCAUAUGCAGAGAUCACCUUGGGCUAUGCAUUAAACAGCUACUCUGAACGGUUUGCUGAUUUCCACCUUUCCCAAGGCUCAUUUUCUUCUCGCAAGGAUUUGAUGGGCUCUGUGUGGAACUUGAGCAUCCUCUGAACGUGGUUCCGAUAGCUACCAGCUCUCACUCCAUUGCAGAUGCGCAGCUCAAAGCCAGGACACCGCACAGUGACUGUUACUUGAAUUUUGUGGUUUUGGGUUGUGGUACUUUGUUACUUGAACACUG